AGUAAAGAUUGAUGCUGUGUAUUUGUAAUCUGCUGUAGCUCCCCGCUGCUCCCCAUCUAACAAUCUCCCAGCAUGCUCUGCCUCCACAGGCAAUGCGCUCUGGAGCUCAGCCUCAGCGUGACUGGACUACAGAGUCUCCUUAACCAGCUCCACACCUCCCCCCUACUACAUUUCUCUUCCACGGAUGGGGUGAAUCAGGGGGAGGGGGUCACUUUAUCGCCUUCAGACUGUAAUACCCUUGCAAGUGAUGCAAGGGACAGCAGUGCCUGCUCGCAAGGUGCACAUUUUCACACUUAUUUUGCAGCUAGGAGCUGCACGUUGGCACCACUGCACAGAAGAAUUAACA